UUGGUUAUUUUGAUGAUCGCCUCUUGUCAGCUAUAAUGGCAGGAGGAGGAAAGUCCGAACACCUUAACAAAGAGCAGUCGAUAACGUCGACCGUCGAGCUCAGCUCGAUAGGACAAGUGCAACAGAGAACAUACCGCCCAGCACCACUUUUGAGCAGCGCUACGGUUAUACAACUAUAGGCGCAGCAUUUCAUCUGCAUAAUGUUCAAAAACUAAUGCAGGUGCACAAGUGGUGCUGGGUAAGGGUGAAAACGUGAGGUAAGAGCUCACGCGUUUACGCAGCGAUGCGUAUCUGUGCAAACUCUGCUCGGUGCAAGGCCAAGUAGGCCCAGCACCACUUUUGAGGAGCAUGACAGCGUAAUAAACUGAAGUGCUCUAUUUCAUCUGCAUACUGCUCAAAACUAAUGCAGGUGCACAAGUGGUGCUGGGCGGGUAGGCCGCUUGAUCACUGCAGCAAUGCCGUGACUAGAGAGAUGAUCAUCGCUCCGAUGCAUAAUCGGAGAACAGAAUUCGGCUUAUAAAAUAAUUAAGGCA
rnacentral:RNase_P_RNA from 2 species